rnacentral:tRNA from 1 species
GUCGUGAUAGCUUAGCUGAUGGAGCAUCCCUCCCCGCACGCGGAGGGUCGGCGGUUCGAUGCCGGCUCGCGAUG